GACGAACGCUGGCGGCGCGCUUAACACAUGCAAGUCGAACGGAAAGGCCUGCUUUCCCUUGUGGAUUGCGGGUACUCGAGUGGCGAACGGGUGAGUAACACGUGAGUGAUCUGCCCCCAACUUGGGUAUAAGCCUGGGAAACUGGGUCUAAUUCCCGAUAGGACUGCAGGGUGGUGCCUGUGGUGGAAAACGAUUUUCUAGUGGUUGGGGAUGAGCUCGCGGCCUAUCAGCUUGUUGGUGGGGUAAUGGCCUACCAAGGCGGCGACGGGUAGCCGGCCGGGGAGGGGGGACGGCCAGAUUGGGACUGGGAUACGGCCCAGAGUCCUACGGGAGGCAGCAGUGGGGAAUAUUGCACAAGGGGCGGAAGCCUGAUGCAGCGACGCCGCGUGGGGGAUGACGGCCUUCGGGUUGUAAACUCCUUUCGACCGCGAGGAAGCCACCUGGUUGGAAGGGUGGUGACGGUAGUGGUAGAAGAAGCACCGGCUAACUACGUG
rnacentral:rRNA from 1 species